ensembl:snoRNA
UUGCACACCAGUAGACCUUGUCUGGUUGUUCCUGUAGCCAGAUGAGGGGGAUGGUGCGUGCAAGAAAAACCUGGGGUUGUGCAGGCUGAGGUCAGCCUCAGUGUGACUGAUUGAGCUGCCAUACUCUGACAUGU